rnacentral:rRNA from 1 species
GCAAGUCGAACGGUAACAGAAGCAGCUUGCUGCUUGCUGACGAGUGGCGCACGGGUGAGUAAUAGAUAGAUAAUGUGCCUCUUAGUCUGGGAUAGCCAUUGGAAACGAUGAUUAAUACUAGAUAUUCCUUCUUAUUCUAAUAUAAGUUGGGAAAGUUUUUCGCUAAGAGAUCAGUCUAUCUCCCAUCAGUUAGUUGGUAGGGUAAUGGCCUACCAAGGCAAUGACGGGUAGCGGGUUUGAGAGGAUGAUC